AGUGAACGCUGGCGGUAGGCCUAACACAUGCAAGUCGAACGGCAGCACAGUAAGAGCUUGCUCUUACGGGUGGCGAGUGGCGGACGGGUGAGGAAUACAUCGGACUCUACUUUUUCGUGGGGGUUAACGUAGCGAAACUUACUCUCAUACCGCAUACGCCCUACGGUUGAAAGCAGGGGAUCUUCUGACCUUUCGCGAUUGAAUGCGCCGAUGAGGGAUUAGUUAGUUGGCGGGGUGAAGGCCCACCAAGGCGACGAUCCGUAGCUGGAGUGAGAGGAUGGUCAGCCGCACUGGAGGGGAGACAGGGACCAGGCGACUGAGGGAGGCAGCAGUGGCGAAUAUGGGACAAUGGGGGCAAGCCUGGUCCAGCCAGAGCGAGUGGGUGGAGAAGGCGCUCGGGGUGGAAAGCCGGUUUGUUGGGAAAGAAAAGCAGCAGGUUGAUACCCAGCUGUUCUGACGGUAACCGAAGAAGAAGCACCGGCUAACUUCGUG
rnacentral:rRNA from 1 species